rnacentral:rRNA from 1 species
UACGUAGGGUGCAGGCGUUAAUCGGAAUUACUGGGCGUAAAGCGUGCGCAGGCGGUCUGUUAAGAGAGAUGUGAAAUCCCCGGGCUUAACCUGGGAACUGCGUUACUAACUGGCAGGCUUGAGUGUGGCAGAGGGGGGUGGAAUUCCACGUGUAGCAGUGAAAUGCGUAGAGAUGUGGAGGAACACCGAUGGCGAAGGCAGCCCCCUGGGUCAAGAUUGACGCUCAUGCACGAAAGCGUGGGGAGCAAACAGG